rnacentral:lncRNA from 1 species
ACCUUGAUUGCUUCUUAGGCAGUGGUGAGGCGUCUUAGAGACGUGCAUCUCCAUGCGGUUGUACUGUCAGGCCAUGGGAAUUAGGAUCGGCUCUAUAGGACCAGUGUGAAGGGACAACGUGCGGCGGAGGGUCGAAGCCCACGGAUUUCCAUGAGCUCGGCCUGGCUUCCUUCUUGGAAUUGUUCGUUUCUCGGAGAUAAUUGUAUAAAAGAAGGAGAAAUAACCCCACAUCUCUUGACACUAGAGCUCCAGGUCCCCUGACCAUGGGAAGCAGUCGCGCUCUGGACAGUAAAGGUGGAGACAGGAACUUGUCAGAGCUUGGAGAGUUUCCGGAAUGAAAAAGGCCUGGAUCUUCUGCGUCUCCAGCUUAGGAAAACCAGAGAAUAAAUACAGUUGCUGCUGCUCGCAGAGAACCUAGCAGAAGAGACCAUGGAGACUUUGACCUCAAGGCAUGAGAAAAGAGCUCUUCAUUCUCAAGCCUCAGCCAUUUCCCAAGAUAGGGAGGAGAAGAUCAUGUCUCAGGUGAACAAUUAUGGCAUUACGUUAUGUG